GACGAACGCUGGCGGCGUGCUUAACACAUGCAAGUUGAACGGAAAGGCCCUGCUUUUGUGGGGUGCUCGAGUGGCGAACGGGUGAGUAACACGUGAGUAACCUGCCCUUGACUUUGGGAUAACUUCAGGAAACUGGGGCUAAUACCGGAUAGGAGCUCCUGCUGCAUGGUGGGGGUUGGAAAGUUUCGGCGGUUGGGGAUGGACUCGCGGCUUAUCAGCUUGUUGGUGGGGUAGUGGCUUACCAAGGCUUUGACGGGUAGCCGGCCUGAGAGGGUGACCGGCCGCAUUGGGACUGAGAUACGGCCCAGACUCCUACGGGAGGCAGCAGUGGGGAAUAUUGCACAAUGGGCGGAAGCCUGAUGCAGCAACGCCGCGUGCGGGAUGACGGCCUUCGGGUUGUAAACCGCUUUCGCCUGUGACGAAGCGUGAGUGACGGUAAUGGGUAAAGAAGCACCGGCUAACUACGUG
rnacentral:rRNA from 1 species